rfam:Williamsia sterculiae strain CPCC 203464 genome assembly, contig: Ga0104459_112
AUCCCACGGUGAGCCGAGGCCUCUGCCCGAUCCGACCCUGACGCACUUCCCCAGCGCCAGGUUCGCGAUCGGGCGGAGACCCCGGUUCAUCACCACCCUCGG